GCCUUAAAAGGAGGCUCACGGAACCCAGGGGAGCUGGUUUCUCUUCUGCAGCCCGCACAUCCCUAAGGCUCACCCCAGGGUGGUGUGUGGGGUGUUGGCGGAGUCCCCACCUGCACCUGUGUGCAUCCAAGCAGCACCUGGGCAGUGAGCGCAGAUUGUCUCCAUCCUGGGAGCCUGUUGUGGGCAGAGACCCCCAGAACAUGGACCGAGUGACCAGAUACCCCAUCCUCAGCAUCCCCCGCUCAUCCCGUGUGACCAGUGUGGCCCUCGAUGGGGAUACCAGCUACACUAUUGAGCUGGUGGGCGUGGGGUCCAUGGCCAGUGGCUGGGGCCAGGAUGAGCCACAGGCAUGGCCCACUGACCAUGAGGCCCGGCUGGAAAUGGUGCAGACAGGGACGUCUCGCAGCCUGCAUGCCUGCCCUGGCCAGCUGUCCCCAUGGCCACCCUGCCCAGAGGACGAUGAGGAUGAGGAGGUGAAGGCCUACCACCUGGAGACCAGGGGCACCCAGCCCAGGCGGCCACAGGACCUGGAGCGAGAGCGUCGGGUGGUCAUCCAGGGCCAGGCGGUCAGGAAGAGUGGCACGGUGGCCACACUCCAUGGCACCCCUGACCACGGGGAACCCAGGACCCCCGGCCGACUGCAGGCCACGCCCCCAGAGGAGAACAUGAUCGACAGAGAGCAGAUCGACUUCCUGGCAGCGAGGCAGCAGUUUCUGAGCCUGGAGCAGGCAAACCCCCCUGCCAGGCCAGCCUAUGCGAAUGCGGGGACCCCUCGGAACCGCCCAUUCGGGCCCAGCCAGGCCUCCAAGCCCCCGAACGGGCCGCCCCUGCCCAAUGGGUGUGUCAGCCCAGUCAAGUCCCAGGUGAAGGAGGUGGUCGUGGAGGAGAAGAGGGUCCCUGGUUUGUCUGCCAGGUCUGGUGUCCCAGCCAUGGACGACCCUGCUUCCCAGUCCCGCGCAGAGUCACCAGAGCCCCCCAAGGAGACGCCCAUCGAGCGGGAGAUCCGGCUGGCACAGGAGAGGGAGGCGGACCUCCGAGAGCGGAGGGGGCUGCAGCGGGUGUUCAGCCAGCAGGAGCUGGUGGAGAUCCCCGCCAGGCUGCUGCUGACCAGGGUGAGCCUGGCUGCAGCCCCACGGCGGGGCAGGGGGCGCCCGUCUCUCUACGUGCAGCGGGACCUCGCGCAGGAGACGCAGCGCGAGGAGGACCACCGGCGGGAGGGCCUGCAGGUGGGCCGGUCGGCCACGCCUGACUGCUUCUCUGAGGGCCCGCCACCUGGACUCAGGAGAGCCCACAGCUCAGACUCCAUCCUGGGCCCGGCCCCCGAUGCCAGGGCGGCCAGCCCUGCUCCCGAGGUGAGGAAGGUGAACCGCAUCCCACCUGACGCCUACCAGCCGUACCUGAGCCCCAGAACGCCCCCAGUAGAGUUCCCAGCCUUCCGUGCGAAUCUCAAGCCCAGCAGCCUCCCUGCAGAUAAGGCCAGGGCCGGGAGCGCUCCACAGGCUGCAGCGGCUCAGAGCCUUCUCUCGGAAUCCUCUGGAGAACCCUCGGGCGCAAGGCAGGUGCCCCCCAGGGGCCCCCUGCACCCCAGAGGGCUUGUGCGCCACGAGUACUUCCUCCUGCGCCCCCUGAGGUUUGCGGUCCCGGGUGUGCCUGAGAAAGCUGAGGCCCCCCGAGUUUGGGGCUGGGAGGUGGCGGGGGCCCCGGCGCUGAAGCUGCAGAGGUCCCAGUCAUCUGAGCUGCUGGAGAGGGAGGUGGAGAGUGUCCUGCGGCGGGAGCGGGAGGUGGCCGAAGAGCGGCGGAGUGCUCUGUUCCCUGAGGUCUUCUCCCCACCCCUGCCGGAUGAGUGCUACGACCAAGACUCCAGGAGCUCCUCCCAGGCAUCUGGCAUCACAGGCAGCUACUCAGUGUCUGAGUCACACUUCUUCACCCCAAUUCACCUGCACUCGGGCCUGGCGUGGACAGUGGCAGAGGCCCCGGCCGAGGCUGCCCCUGCACAGAGGAAGAAGAGGGAGCAGUGGGCACUGGGGUCUGAACCCAGGACAUCGUGCAUGCUGAGCACGCGCUCCACCACUGAGCUACACUCUCCUCUCCUUGUUAUUUUUGAUUAUUACCUGCACCUCACGUGGGACGUGCUCAGGGGUCUGCACGUGCUGUGGCUUUAACACCCUGGACAGAUGUUUUGUCCCCAGUUUUUUUAGAGAAAGCCAAAGUCACGCACACGCAGGGUCACAUGGCCAGGUCCCCGAGCCAGGACUUGAGCCCAGGCCUGGCUCUGAACCCCACAUUGGCAGCCACGAGGCUGCCUCCUCCCUGGGUGGGUAUUGUUGGCACCAGGGAGAAAAACAUCGCCCCCAGGCUCGCCCUCCUGGCGGUCACAGCCUGUUCUGGUGGUUUGGGGCAGAGUGGAGCCCAGGGACCUGGGUUCAAGUCCCAGCCCUGCCACUGGCUGGCUGUAUGAUGUUGGGCCCCUCUCUGACCCUCAGUCUCCUCCUCUGUAAAAUGAGCAUGGUAAUGAGAACAGACUCCUUCAAACCUUCGAGGGCCUGGUGGCAGCAAGAGCUCCAUAAAUGUCAACUGUCUUUAUUACAAGGAAGUUUACAAAGAGAAAACAGCUGCAAAUGGUGGCCCAAGGCAUCCCUAAGGGGACUAGUGUGAGGGAACAGCCUGGUGGAUGGCUCUGAGUUUGGGGUGACCAAGCGGCACUGGGGGGACCACUGUGGCCCGGGAUCGCUUCCCUUCUGCCCUAAGUGGUGACUGAGUGGGCUCUGGGGUGGGACAGGGUGGAAGACCCCAGGGAAUGACGUCUGUUCCUCCCUGCAGUAUGCUGGCAUCAGCCCCUUGGACCACAUUAACUCGGAGGUCCUGGAAGCCACGCGGGUGACCCGCCACAAGAACGCCAUGGCUGAGCGCUGGGAAGCCCGCG